AUUGCCCUAGUAACGGCGAGUGAAGCGGCAAAAGCUCAAAUUUGAAAUCUGGCCCUCUAUGGGGGUCCGAGUUGUAAUUUGCAGAGGGUGCUUUGGUGUUGGCAGCGGUCUAAGUUCCUUGGAACAGGACGUCACAGAGGGUGAGAAUCCCGUACGUGGUCGCCUGCCUUCGCCGUGUAAAGCCCCUUCGACGAGUCGAGUUGUUUGGGAAUGCAGCUCUAAAUGGGAGGUAAAUUUCUCCUAAAGCUAAAUACUGGCCAGAGACCGAUAGCGCACAAGUAGAGUGAUCGAAAGAUGAAAAGCACUUUGGAAAGAGAGUCAAAUAGCACGUGAAAUUGUUAAAAGGGAAGCGCUUGCAGCCAGACUUGCCCGCGGUUGUUCUCUUCUGUGGGCAGGCCAGCAUCAGUUUGGGCGAUUGGAUAAAGGCCUCUGUCACGUAUCUCCCUUUGGGGAGACCUUAUAGGGGAGGCGCAAUGCAAUCAGCCCGGACUGAGGUCCGCGCAUCUGCUAGGAUGCUGGCGUAAUGGCUGUAAGCGGCCCGUCUUGAAACACGGACCAAGGAGUCUAACAUCUAUGCGAGUGUUUGGGUGUCAAGCCCGGGCGCGUAAUGAAAGUGAACGGAGGUGGGAACCCUCUUGGGGGUGCACCAUCGACCGAUCCUGAAGUCUUCGGAUGGAUUUGAGUAAGAGCAUGGCUGUUGGGACCCGAAAGAUGGUGAACUAUGCUUGAAUAGGGUGAAGCCAGAGGAAACUCUGGUGGAGGCUCGCAGCGGUUCUGACGUGCAAAUCGAUCGUCAAAUUUGGGCAUAGGGGCGAAAGACU
rnacentral:rRNA from 1 species